GGGCGGGGGCACGGGGGGAACGCGAAGAACCUUACCUGAUCUUGACAUCCCGAUGACCGCUUCGUAAUGGAAGCUUUUCUUCGGAACAUCGGUGACAGGUGGUGCAUGGUUGUCGUCAGCUCGUGUCGUGAGAUGUUGGGUUAAGUCCCGCAACGAGCGCAACCCCUAUCUUCAGUAGCCAGCAGGUUAAGCUGGGCACUCUGGAGAGACUGCCAGGGAUAACCUGGAGGAAGGUGGGGAUGACGUCAAAUCAUCAUGCCCCUUAUGACCAGGGCUACACACGUGCUACAAUGGCGUAAACAAAGAGAAGCGAACUCGCGAGGGUAAGCAAAUCUCAAAAAUAACGUCUCAGUUCGGAUUGUAGUCUGCAACUCGACUACAUGAAG
rnacentral:rRNA from 1 species